UGCAGAUCCCUCUCGUCCCCCUCGUUGCCGCCACCCACCCCUCAGAACCUCGCCGUCACCCACCUCCGCAGCCGCGCUCACUCUCCCCUCGUCUCCCUCGUCCUCGACCAACCUCGCCGCCCGCGGGGCGCUCUCACAUCGCCGCCACUCCACGCCCGUGCACGACAGAAGAGAAGCCCGAGGUCCUCCUCUGAUGCUCCUCUGCCUCCCUCGCCCGCGGGGCUCUCUGCUCCACUUCGACUGGCCGACGCAGACAGGAGAGAAGCCCUCGUCAGUCGCAGGUCCUCGACUCCGCCGUCGCAGCACCGAACCCUCGUCGUUCGGAUCCAGCCACCGUCGCAGCCAUGCCGUUCACCCCGCGACCCUACUCCGGGAAGAACACCCUCGCCCUCGUGGCCACGGUCUCCGCCGUCAGCGUCGGCGUCGUCUAGGGCUCUGUCAAGCUCGGGCAGAUGAGGCGCCGCAGAGGAUUCGCAGCCGUACCCAUGACCUCAGUCUGGUGGACACGACCUCUCUCCCCUCGCUGGACCAGACCCGCAGGGUCCUAGGGCGCGAUUCUCGCGACCAACAGCCGGUCGGUGCUCCCGUCGGCGUCAUCUUCUCUUCUCCGGCGUGGUCACCUCAGUGCCUGGCGUUGGCUCCUCCGACGUGAUGAAGAGAGAUGGAUCGUCGGAGUCAGUAGGGCCACCAACAGCCGUGAUUUGGGCCCUCUCGCACUUGCAGAUGGUCUCGACAACAAGGUCUUCAUCGACUACAUCCAAUUCCAUCAACCCUGGUACAACAUCAAGUGCAAGGCUAUUUGAAGUUCGGGAUUAACACAGAAAAUGACGCAACUGUGUACCAGGAAUGGGCCCCUUGCUUAUUUUUUUCUUCGGUUUGGACGCAACAGGUGCCGUCCCUCCAUGGACGAGGAGGACAUCGAUCUGGAACUCGAUGACGACGUCAUCCACCCCGCACAAGGUAUAUGCGAGUCGACCGUGCGGUGGCAGUCCCUGUGGAACGAGCACUGGACUACUCCCUUGGCCAGGCGUACCUGUGUCAUGCGGGUUCUGAUCAUGUACAUCAGCACACUUUCCAGCGUCGACCUGAGCAAACGAUGAUGGAAGGCUGCUCCUCCUCCUACUGCAUGUCUUCAUCGACUUGAUUCUUCGACAUGGAGAUAUUUAAAGCCUUCACUUGUUCAUUGUGUCAUCUGCUGAUUACUUCUAUUUUUUUGCAAAACACGUAAUGGUUUUGAGUAGUUGAUCAUGGCCUGAUGGAACAUUCAUGUUGUUAGCAUGUAUAUAUACACUAUUACAACAGCCAUAUGCAAUCCAUUUUAUUAAAUGCAUUCUGGUUAGGAUUUGGUCAUGGCAUGACUUUGUUGUUCCGUUUUCUAUGAAUCUAGUCGCUACUUCUGGAAUUCAUUGUAGGACUUCAUCAUGUGAUUAUUAGUUAUUUUUGACCAAUGAUAGUCCUAGCAUGUGUAGUCUUUGCGGUGAUGUUCUUUAGAUUGUAGCAAGCAAGAACAGGAUUAGAACACAUUAGUAUGACACUUGAUCUUAGCUUAUUGAUCCUAGCUAUAAAUCCAUAUAUUUUGCAAUAAUAUUUUGGUUUGCUUUGCUCAUAUUAUUUGCAAUCUACAGUAGUAGUGGUACUUUGAUUUCACUGCAAUCUACAGUAGUAGUUUUUUUUGGUUCAUUAGGAUGUGAACAAUCUACUACAUGCUCACAAAGUUAUUGACUUAAAAUAUGAAUAUGUGCUAUUUGCUGGCAGUCCUUCUCUUUCCAAGAGACAUCAAAGUUCAGAGACUAUCAAUCCGAAAAUAUGAAUAUGUAAAUUUUGUUCUCAUUUCUCAGUUUUGGCGCCUCUUGUUGAUGCAGGUGCACAUGACUGUUGUUGAGGACAUGGUGUUCUUUUUGGCGCGCCCAAGUAUUGGGUGAUGCUUUCCUGCAUGGUUACUGCAGCUCCAGUUCAGGUGGGCGCUCUAGCUCCUCCUCACGCCCUACAUGCAGGUACACCCUUCCAGCGGUACCUACUUGGACACACAAACUGUGAGUAGAUUCAAUUGACUUCUACUUAUAUUAUGUUGCCAGCUUCAUCUGUUUUGAUCAUUAGAAUAUUGCCUUCAUACUAUCUAAUUUCUGCAGUUAAGAUGCUCUCGACUAACCAGAAAAGUUCUUUUGAGUUCCAUACGUUGACUAAAACAUUUCAAUCUGUCAUUGAGUUAGCUAUAUAAUUCCGCGACACCAUUUCUGUACUGUGAUAGUUUCUCAUAUUUUUCUAUUAUACUUGUAUACAUUAUUCCUAUUUGAAGUCAUCAACUGAGAUGUUGUAAACAUUCCUGCCAUGUGCUGCUUCCUUUUUCAUGCUUUGCUACUAUAGAUCAUUUGCUUGAACUGAGAUGAUUGGUGUAUUUGUGCUUAUAAUUAUGCUUCUAUGUGGUUGUUGUAGCAUGACCCAACCAAAUAAACAUUUUGUGCCUUGAUCUAGCUCUAAAAGUGUGGUGUUACCUCUCUUUACAGGAGCUCUGGGCUGAAGAAAUUUGAAGAAGCUUGAAGCCUGACAAAGUAAAGAGUAGCGAGUUAUAAUGUAGUGCUAGUUAUGUUGUACAGUAGCCAGCAUAUCUGGUUGUAUGAACACUAUUGUAAAUACUGUAAUUUCAUAUGUUGUACAGUAGUCAGCAUAUUUGGUGCUAAUAUUGGCUAUCAUUUUAACAGUUUCGUAUGUUCACUUGCCAUUUGAAAUAUUUUUCAUUUGUUUAUUGUGAAAGUGUGAGAAAUAGAAAGAUGACCAGUGCGACAAACGAAAAGGCCAAGGCCCAAAAAGUAGAUGGAAUGUAAAAAGGCCGAGGCCCAAAAUAGAAAUGGACUAUAAAAGGGUAGAGGGUGAAAAAGACUAUAAAAGGCAAUGGCCAAGAAAAAAAACGCUGAAUUGCUGGGCUAGGCCCAUGUGGCUAGCAAAAAAUAACAGGAAAAAAAAUAUAUAUAAAAGGCUGAA